UUGAGACAGAGCGCUUGGCACAGGAGGAGCGGGGUCAGGACGAAGUCCCAGGCACCAGGCGUGGCUCUCAGGGUCUCAGACCCCGAAGGCGGUGUAUGGAUUGGGGAGGCGCAGCGUUGGGGAUUCCCCCCCCAUCUCCGCAGUUUCUCUUCCUCUCCCAACCUGUGUCGGGUCCUUCUUCCUGGAUACUCAUGACGCGGGCCCAGGUCCCACUCCCAUUGGGUGCCGCGUUUCUAGAGAAGCCAAUCAGCGUCGCCGCGGUCCCGGUUCUAAAGUCCCCAGUCACCCGCCCGGACUCAGAUUCCCCCCAGACGCCAAGGAUGGCGGUCAUGGCGCCCCGAACCCUCCUCCUGCUGCUCUCGGGGGCCCUGGCCCUGACCGAGACCCGGGCGGGCUCCCACUCCAUGAGGUAUUUCUACACCUCCGUGUCCCGGCCCGGCCGCGGGGAGCCCCGGUACAUCUCCGUGGGCUACGUGGACGACACGCAGUUCUUGCGGUUCGACAGCGACGCCGCGAUUCCGAGGAUGGAGCCGCGGGCGCCGUGGAUGGAGCAGGAGGGGCCGGAGUACUGGGACCGGAACACGCGGAGAGCCAAGGCCCAGGCACAGAUUAACCGAGUGGACCUGCGGACCCUGCGCGGCUACUACAACCAGAGCGAGGCCGAGUCUCACACCAUCCAGAUUCUGUACGGCUGCGACCUGGGGCCGGACGGGCGCCUCCUCCGCGGGUAUUACCAGUUCGCCUACGACGGCAAGGACUACAUCGUCCUGAACGAGGACCUGCGCUCCUGGACGGCCGCGGACACGGCGGCUCAGAUCACCCAGCGCAAGUGGGAGGUGAACAAUUGGGCUGAGAGAAUGAAGAGCCUACCUGGAGGGCGAGUGCCUGGAGUGGCUCCGCAGACACCUGGAGAACGGGAAGGAGACGCUGCAGCGCGCGGAGCCCCCCAAGACUCACGUGACCCACCAUCCCAUCUCUGACCAUGAGGUCACCCUGAGGUGCUGGGCCCUGGGCUUCUACCCUGCCGAGAUCACACUGACCUGGCAGCGGGAUGGGGAGGACCAGACCCAGGACAUGGAGCUUGUGGAGACCAGGCCAGCAGGGGAUGGAACCUUCCAGAAGUGGGUGGCUGUGGUGGUGCCUUCUGAAGAGGAGCAGAGAUACACAUGCCAUGUGCAGCACGAGGGGCUGCAGGAGCCCCUCACCCUGACAUGGGAGCCGUCUUCCCAGCCCACCAUCCCCAUCUUGGUUAUCAUUGCUGGCCUGGCUGUCCUUGGAGCUGCAUUCACUGUAGCUGUGGUCUCUGCCGUGAUGAGGAGGAAGAAGAUCUCAGAUAAAAAAGGAGAAAGCUACUCUCAGGCUGCAAGCAGCUACAGGGCCCAGGGCUCUGAUGUGUCUCUCACGGCUUGUAAAGUGUGAGACAGCUGCCUUGUGUGGGACUGAGAGGCAAGAUUUACCCACACCUUCCAUUUGUGACUUCUAGAACCCUGACUUCUCUUACUGCAAAGGCGUCUGAAUGUGUCUGUGUCCCUAGAGGCAUAAUGUGAGGAGGUGGGGAGACCAGCCCAGCCCCGUGUCCACCAUGACCCCUUCCCCACGCUGACCUUGCCUUCCUUCUCCGAUCACCUUUCCUGUUCCAGAUAUGUGAGGCUGGGACAUCUCCAUCUUUGUCGCUACUUCAUGGUGCACUGAGCUGUAAGUUCUUACUUUCACAUUAAUAUUCAAAUCUGAAUAUAAUUUACUUUUUCAAAUUAUUUCUGAGAGCUUGAUGAGUUAAUUAAAAGAGAAGAUUCCUGAAAUUCAAGAGACAAAAUAAAUGUAAGACCUGAGAACCUUCCACAGUCCA